rnacentral:misc_RNA from 1 species
GAUGAAGAACGCAGUGAAAUGCGAUAAGUAAUGUGAAUUGCAGAAUUCAGUGAAACAUCGAAUCUUUGAACGCACCUUGCGCCCUUUGGCUAUUCCGAAGGGCAUGCCUGUUUGAGUAUCAUGAACACCUCAACUCUUCACGGCUUGCCGUGAUGAGUUUGGACUUUGGGGGUCUUGCUGGCCUACGAGCCAGCUCCUCUCAAAUGUAUUAGCUUGCCGGUGUUUGGUGGCAUCACAGGUGUGAUAACUAUCUACGCUUGUGGUUUUCCACUAGGUAACCUUCAGCAAUGGAGGUUCACCGGAGCUCACAAAUGUCUCUCCUUGCCAAGGACAGAUUUUGACCAUUUGAUCUCAAAUCAGGUAGGACUACCCGCUGAACUUAAGCAUAUCAAUAAGCGGAGGA